CUUGUUUCAGAGAUUUACAGAAUUAGAGGACACCACCGGCGGAUGUCAGGCUUAUCCCAGAAGCUUGUUUCCAGGUGCCACUGCAAAGAACAAAUAAAUCACCGAAGCAAAGUGGGAGAGAGAGGCCUGUUGUUUUGUCUCCCGAGUCACCUCUCUUGCCCCCAUCGAUGACUUUUGCAAACAAUAUACCAACGGUUGUGUUACGGGUGAGUGGAUAUCUGGAAAAGCAGUACCUCAACAGAGACCACAGUGAUUUGAAGAAGGGCUCUCGAGCAUGCACCGGGGCCCUUGGGUUGGCCCCUCCAACACCAUGUCCCCGGGAGGGGGGCCGCUUACUCUUUUGAGCUCUUCUCCGGAGAGGCUGUAAAGCGCUGGCCUCCGCAGGCCACAAAUCAGCUCCUGAAAGCAGGCAUGCAUCUUCAAAGGGUGGGCUGCUCUUCUGUGAUAUACGGCCCCCGCCGAGAACAAGUUAGCCACGGCCAGUGUCUUUGCACCUGGGCCAUUAUCAGGCGACCGGGAUCAUCUCCUCUCACCACACAUUCAAAUGUACAAGUAGCAGAUUAGGCUGACUCAAUCUUCUUUCCUUCUGAAGGAUAGGGUGAGAGAGAGAGAGCGAGAGAGGGAGGAAGAGAAAAAGAAAACCCCGUGGACUUCAAAAAGAGCUCGCUCUCUCUCUUUCUAAGAGAGUGAAAGGGGCAGGAGAUGAAAUCGGAGGGGGGCUUGUGUAUUCAGAGAACUAAUUCAGAACUGAUUUCUCUAAUACACUCCUGAAACACUUUUAAUUGUGUUAGUUUGCAUUCAAAAGGCGCAUUUGCAGCUUUUAAUUGGCGAGCGCUUUGAAAUAAUUGAAAUGUGUGACUUUGUGAGGGACAAUUUAAACAGUUCUAAUGUGCUUUGCUGGUAGGUGCUGACUGCCUAUUAUUGCCUCAUUCUGACACGGUGGCAUUUUGAAGGGGUCUUGGAGAUGUGUUCGCCAAAUAAAAAAGCUAUCAAGGAUCGGUACAAUGGAAGCUACAUUGUCUAAUGUGGUAAACACUACAUAGUACCUGGUAAUUGCAAUUAGGUUGGAUGAAACCUCUCAUUGUGGUGAA